UGUUUUAGGCUUAAAGCUAUCUUAUAGUA
rnacentral:piRNA from 1 species